rnacentral:rRNA from 1 species
CGCGCAGGCGGCGCGUUAAGUCCGGGGUGAAAUCCCACGGCUCAACUGUGGGGGGACCCUGGAUACUGGCGUGCUGGAGUGCGGGAGAGGGAAGCGGAAUUCCACGUGUAACGGUGAAAUGUAUAGAUAUGUGGAGGAACACCGGUGGCGAAGGCGGCUUCCUGGACCGUAACUGACGCUGAGGCGCGAAAGCUGGGGGAGCGAACAG